GAUGAACGCUAGCGAUAGGCUUAACACAUGCAAGUCGAGGGGCAGCAUGGUCUUAGCUUGCUAAGACUGAUGGCGACCGGCGCACGGGUGCGUAACGCGUAUGCAACUUGCCUCACAGAGGGGGAUAACCCGUCGAAAGACGGACUAAUACCGCGUACACUUGGGAUAGGGCAUCCUGACCCAAGGAAAUGAAAUUCGCUGUGAGAUAGGCAUGCGUCCCAUUAGCUAGUUGGUGAGGUAACGGCUCACCAAGGCGACGAUGGGUAGGGGAACUGAGAGGCUGAACCCCCGCACUGGUACUGAGACACGGACCAGACUCCUACGCGAGGCAGCAGUGAGGAAUAUUGGUCAAUGGACGAGAGCCUGAACCAGCCAAGUCGCGUGAAGGAUGACUGUCUUAUGGAUUGUAAACUUCUUUUAUACGGGAAUAACAAGAGUCACGUGUGGCUCCCUGCAUGUACCGUAUGAAUAAGCAUCGGCUAACUCCGUG
rnacentral:rRNA from 1 species